rnacentral:rRNA from 1 species
AGUGAACGCUGGCGGUAGGCCUAACACAUGCCAGUCGAACGGCAGCACAGUAAGAGCUUGCUCUUACGGGUGGCGAGUGGCGGACGGGUGAGGAAUACAUCGGAAUCUACUUUUUCGUGGGGGAUAACGUAGGGAAACUUACGCUAAUACCGCAUACGUCCUACGGGUGAAAGCAGGGGAUCUUCGGACCUUGCGCGAUUGAAUGAGCCGAUGUCGGAUUAGCUAGUUGGCGGGGUAAAGGCCCACCAAGGCGACGAUCCGUAGCUGGUCUGAGAGGAUGAUCAGCCACACUGGAACUGAGACACGGUCCAGACUCCUACGGGAGGCAGCAGUGGGGAAUAUUGGACAAUGGGCGCAAGCCUGAUCCAGCCAUACCGCGUGGGUGAAGAAGGCCUUCGGGUUGUAAAGCCCUUUUGUUGGGAAAGAAAAGCAGCAGGUUAAUACCCCGCUGUUCUGACGGUACCCAAAGAAUAAGCACCGGCUAACUUCGUG